AACGCGAAGAACCUUACCAGGUCUUGACAUCCCUUGACCGCCCUAGAAAUAGGGUUUUCAGUCCUUAGGGACUGACAAGGAGACGGGUGGUGCAUGGUUGUCGUCAGCUCGUGUCGUGAGAUGUUGGGUUAAGUCCCGCAACGAGCGCAACCCUUGCCUUUAGUUGCCAGCACGAUAAGGUGGGCACUCUAAAGGGACUGCCGGUGACAAACCGGAGGAAGGUGGGGAUGACGUCAAAUCAUCAUGCCCCUUAUGACCUGGGCUACACACGUGCUACAAUGGCCUGUACAGAGGGAAGCGAAGCCGCGAGGCGGAGCAAAUCCCGAAAAGCAGGUCUCAGUUCGGAUUGCAGGCUGCAACUCGCCUGCAUGAAGGCGGAAUCGCUAGUAAUCGCGGAUCAGCAUGCCGCGGUGAAUACGUUCCCGGGCCUUGUACACACCG
rnacentral:rRNA from 1 species